UUUUUUUUCAUCUAGAAAUUUUCUCGUUCAAAGAGGAGAAAAUGUUUCUGGGAAGAUGAUAAUUUUCUUUGAGCGCGUUUGACUAUUUCAAUUUUUCCAUUGAACAAUCAACAAUAUUGUUCUCUUUUUUUCAGCUCACCUACUGAUUGCAACAUGUAUAUAAGAAUAUAAACGUUUGAAUCGCAUUUCACCACAAACUCCUUCGUUUUCUUCUUUCUCGUGUUCAUUCUAUCAAUUGUUGAUUACAGCGACCGAGCUUUUAUGGCUGCUGAAGCUCUUACAGAAGAUCAGAUCGCUGAUUUUCGUGAAGCCUUCUGUUUAAUCGACAAGGAUGCUGAUGGAUUCAUCACGGUGGAGGAGCUAGGGGCAGCAAUUCAGACAUUGGAUGGACACCCCACCAAGAAUGAAGUUAGAGAUAUGAUCAGUGAAGUCGAUGUCGAUAGUAACGGGAUGAUAGACUUUGAUGAGUUUCUAAAUGUCAUGGCAAGGAAAAUGAAGGACAAUGUUAGUGAGGAGCUAAAAGAAGCCUUCAAAGUGUUUGAUAGGGACCAAGAUGGUUAUAUCUCAGCUUUUGAGGUGACUGCAACACCAUGGUAGAUCUUUCUGUAAACAUCCUGGCAAUGUCGUUAUCUUUCAAACUAAUGGUAAAUUUUGGGAGUUAUAUAUACAUACAUACGUAUUAUAUACACAUACAUAUAUAUCUAUAUAUAUGCAUACAAAAAGCAGCGACGAUGAGCUUUCUGAGCCCACCGAUGAUGGAGUCUUCACAACCUCAGAAUCCCGACGAGUACUCUGCCUCUUCGACAGUUAUCACCUUCGGACGCCCAAUUCGUGGGCCAAUUCGAGCCGGUCAAUCCGAAAAUCCCUCGGCAGGUCCGUACUUGCUUGCAUUUAGGGAUCCCCAAGCGUGGGAAUCUGCAUACGAAAUAUGCGAGUCGAAGAUUAUUGAACAAUGCGAGGCCGGCGCGAGGAUUGGUUGUUCAAUACUUGCUUCCGACAAAUGCAAGCCGCGGUGGUGGGGAUUUUUGAUGCAAUCGAAGAAGGGGUUGGAUUUGAAGGCGAGGGAGAUGUGCGAAGAGCGAGAAAUGGAGGCUUGUUUGGCAGCUGCAAAGGAGAAGUGUGCUGGUUUCGCGAAGGAGAAGUGUUGUAAGCCGUUCAUGGAUGCUAGAAUUGGAAUUUUUCAAAAGGUCUGAUCAGUGGACAAUGUAGAGGCUAGUUCCGUGCUUAAUUAUUGGAAAUAUCUGUUCGGACGGCCAUACAUGUUCAUGUACCACAAUCCGGGUCAGUUUCUUGGUAAUUCCAGGUUCACAAGCAUUUAUUUCUGGUUGGUUAAUUACAUAAGUGGUAUACUAACUUAUGUUUAGUCAAAUUAAUUUUAGUAUACUAUAGCUAAUUUGUUAACUAUUUUCUUUGUUGAAAUUUGUGAGAUCCCGUAUUGGUUGGGGAGGAGAACGAAACACUUUUUAUAAAUGAUAAGGAUUACAAUGUUCCAAAAUGGUUCUUCCUCAAUCGAAUCAACUUGUAACACAUGAAAUGAUGGUUGAACCGAGCCUAUCCAUUUUUGUAGAUGAAGAAUGAAUGCUUGUUGAAUCUUCUUGGCCUUGGAUCGUGUAAUAGGUCCAGUUAGAACAUUUGAAACACUGUGAUCCUUAUAAAAACGGUGUAGAAACCUCUCUCUAGCAGAUGCGUUUUGAAGCCUUAAAGGGAAGCCCGAAAGGAAAAGCCCAAAGAGGACAAUAUCUGCUAGCGGUGGGCUUGGGCCAUUACCGAAUUCGAUAGUCAUUUCUUCCCAUUUCUGUGUAAGGGUAGGAAAAGCCACAGUCUGUACUUAUGAUGAAUUAGAAGGGUAUCUUUCUAAUGGAA